rnacentral:rRNA from 1 species
GUAGUCAUAUGCUUGUCUCAAAGAUUAAGCCAUGCAUGUCUAAGUAUAAACAAAUCUAUACUGUGAAACUGCGAAUGGCUCAUUAAAUCAGUUAUAGUUUAUUUGAUAAUACCUACUACUUGGAUAACCGUGGUAAUUCUAGAGCUAAUACAUGCACAAAAACCCGACUUCUGGAAGGGUUGUAUUUAUUAGAUACAAAACCAAUGCGGGGCAACCCGGUUCUUUGGUGAUUCAUAAUAACUUCGCGAAUCGCAUGACCUUUGUGUCGGCGAUGAUUCAUUCAAAUUUCUGCCCUAUCAACUUUCGAUGGUAAGGUAUUGGCUUACCAUGGUUACAACGGGUAACGGGGAAU